GUCAGACCUCCACCUGUCGCAGUCCUUCGUGCGGAAGAGGAAAGGCUCCACCCUGACGGAGCUGUGCGAGGGUAAGGAGCCGCCGCCCCACGCUUCCUUCGCUCUGAACGCCAGGUGUAACGCAGCCGCUCUUCCUCCGAACAGACGAGGACUUCGACUCCCAGUGGGAAAUCCCCGACGAGCCUCAGGACGAGGCCGAGACCAGCCAGAGCUCGGUGACGGUCCGGAGCUUCGAGGACAGCCCCAGAGACGGCUCCAGCGUCUGGAUGUGUGAGCUGUCCAGCAAGGUGUGGACCCUGGAGCUGCAGCUGGACCUGGAGAGACAGCAGAAGGAGGACGCCCUGAAGAGGGUGGAGGAGCUGGAGAGCAGGGUGGAGGAGGCGCAGCGGGUGGCAGCCGAGCUGCAGCUGGAGGAGGCCCAGCAGAAUGAACAGACGGAGGCCGCGCUGCAGCUGGAGGAGGCCCAGCAGAAGGAGCUGAUGGAGGCCGCGCUGCAGGUGGAGGAGGCGCAGCAGAAGGAGCUGACGGAGGCCGCGCUGCAGGUGGAGGAGGCGCAGCAGAAUGAACAGACGGAGGCCGCGCUGCAGCUGGAGGAGGCCCAGCAGAAGGAGCUGACGGAGGCCGCGCUGCAGCUGGACGAGGCGCAGCGGGUGGAGGCUGAGCUGCGCCUGCAGCUGGAGGCUGAAGCGGAGGCCAGACGGCAGGCGGUGGAGAAGCUGGACAUGCUGGAGCUGAGAGUUCUGGACCUGGAGCAGCAGAACCGCGCUCACAGGGAGACUGUGGAGCAGAUGACCGGCCAGCUGUUGGAGACCACCCAGCUGUGUGAAGCCUUGAGCUCAGAGAAGGAGGAGGUGCUCACCGAGCGGGACUUCCUGCAGCAGGAGGUGGGGAUGCUCCUCCAGCAGGCCGACAUCCUGGAGAAGGAGAAGGCCGCCCUGUCCCAGGAAAUGAGGGAGCUCCGAGAGACGGACGAGUUUCAGAGGCUGGA
rnacentral:lncRNA from 1 species